rnacentral:rRNA from 1 species
UACGUAGGGGGGCAAGCGUUGUCCGGAAUCAUUGGGCGUAAAGAGCGCGUAGGCGGCCCGAUAAGUCCGCUGUGAAAGUCAAGGGCUCAACCCUUGAAUGCCGGUGGAUACUGUCGGGCUAGAGUCCGGAAGAGGCGAGUGGAAUUCCUGGUGUAGCGGUGAAAUGCGCAGAUAUCAGGAGGAACACCAAUGGCGAAGGCAGCUCGCUGGGACGGUACUGACGCUGAGACGCGAAAGCGUGGGGAGCAAACAGG